AUUGAACGCUGGCGGCAUGCCUUACACAUGCCAGUCGAACGGUAACAGGUUAAGCUGACGAGUGGCGAGCGGGUGAGUAAUAUAUCGGAACGUGCCCAGUCGUGGGGGAUAACGUAGCGAAAGCUACGCUAAUACCGCAUACGAUCUACGGAUGAAAGCGGGGGAUCGCAAGACCUCGCGCGAUUGGAGCGGCCGAUACCAGAUUAGGUUGUUGGUGAGGUAAAAGCUCACCAAGCCUGCGAUCUGUAGCUGGUCUGAGAGGACGACCAGCCGCACUAGAACUGGAACACAGUCCAGGCUCCUACGGGAGGCAGCAGUGGGGAAUUUUGGACAAUGGACGCAAGUCUGAUCCAGCAAUGCCGCGUGCAGGACGAAGGCCUUCGGGUUGUAAACUGCUUUUGUACGGAACGAAACGGUGAGCUCUAAUACAGUUUGCUAAUGACGGUACCGUAAGAAUAAGCACCGGCUAACUACGUGCCAGCCGCCGCAGUAA
rnacentral:rRNA from 1 species